GAACGCUGGCGGCGUGCCUAAUACAUGCAAGUCGAACGCACAGCGAAAGGUGCUUGCACCUUUCAAGUGAGUGGCGAACGGGUGAGUAACACGUGGACAACCUGCCUCAAGGCUGGGGAUAACAUUUGGAAACAGAUGCUAAUACCGAAUAAAACUUAGUGUCGCAUGACACAAAGUUAAAAGGCGCUUCGGCGUCACCUAGAGAUGGAUCCGCGGUGCAUUAGUUAGUUGGUGGGGUAAAGGCCUACCAAGACAAUGAUGCAUAGCCGAGUUGAGAGACUGAUCGGCCACAUUGGGACUGAGACACGGCCCAAACUCCUACGGGAGGCUGCAGUAGGGAAUCUUCCACAAUGGGCGAAAGCCUGAUGGAGCAACGCCGCGUGUGUGAUGAAGGCUUUCGGGUCGUAAAGCACUGUUGUAUGGGAAGAACAGCUAGAAUAGGAAAUGAUUUUAGUUUGACGGUAACCAUACCAGAAAGGGACGGCUAAAUACGUGCCAGCAGCCGCGGUAAUACGUAUGUCCCGAGCGUUAUCCGGAUUUAUUGGGCGUAAAGCGAGCGCAGACGGUUUAUUAAGUCUGAUGUGAAAGCCCGGAGCUCAACUCCGGAAUGGCAUUGGAAACUGGUUAACUUGAGUGCAGUAGAGGUAAGUGGAACUCCAUGUGUAGCGGUGGAAUGCGUAGAUAUAUGGAAGAACACCAGUGGCGAAGGCGGCUUACUGGACUGCAACUGACGUUGAGGCUCGAAAGUGUGGGUAGCAAACAGGAUUAGAUACCCUGGUAGUCCACACCGUAAACGAUGAACACUAGGUGUUAGGAGGUUUCCGCCUCUUAGUGCCGAAGCUAACGCAUUAAGUGUUCCGCCUGGGGAGUACGACCGCAAGGUUGAAACUCAAAGGAAUUGACGGGGACCCGCACAAGCGGUGGAGCAUGUGGUUUAAUUCGAAGCAACGCGAAGAACCUUACCAGGUCUUGACAUCCUUUGAAGCUUUUAGAGAUAGAAGUGUUCUCUUCGGAGACAAAGUGACAGGUGGUGCAUGGUCGUCGUCAGCUCGUGUCGUGAGAUGUUGGGUUAAGUCCCGCAACGAGCGCAACCCUUAUUGUUAGUUGCCAGCAUUCAGAUGGGCACUCUAGCGAGACUGCCGGUGACAAACCGGAGGAAGGCGGGGACGACGUCAGAUCAUCAUGCCCCUUAUGACCUGGGCUACACACGUGCUACAAUGGCGUAUACAACGAGUUGCCAACCCGCGAGGGUGAGCUAAUCUCUUAAAGUACGUCUCAGUUCGGAUUGUAGUCUGCAACUCGACUACAUGAAGUCGGAAUCGCUAGUAAUCGCGGAUCAGCACGCCGCGGUGAAUACGUUCCCGGGUCUUGUACACACCGCCCGUCACACCAUGGGAGUUUGUAAUGCCCAAAGCCGGUGGCCUAACCUUUUAGGAAGGAGCCGUCUAAGGCAGGAC
rnacentral:rRNA from 1 species